rnacentral:piRNA from 1 species
UGAGAAGACCCUUGCAGGAAUAUGUCGA